UGGGGAAUAUUGGACAAUGGGCGCAAGCCUGAUCCAGCAAUACCGCGUGUGUGAAGAAGGCCUGCGGGUUGUAAAGCACUUUCAGUGAGGAAGAAGGGGUUUGUUUUAAUAGAACAAAUCAUUGACGUUACUCACAGAAGAAGCACCGGCUAACUCUGUGCCAGCAGCCGCGGUAAUACAGAGGGUGCAAGCGUUAAUCGGAAUUACUGGGCGUAAAGAGUGCGUAGGUGGUUAUGUAAGUCAGGUGUGAAAUGCCGGAGCUCAACUCCGGAAUGUCGCUUGAUACUGUAUAGCUAGAGUCUAAUAGAGGUUAGUGGAAUUUCCGGUGUAGCGGUGAAAUGCGUAGAUAUCGGAAGGAACACCAGUGGCGAAGGCGACUAACUGGGUUAAGACUGACACUGAGGCACGAAAGCGUGGGGAGCAAACAGG
rnacentral:rRNA from 1 species